AUACGGAGGGGGCUAGCGUUGUUCGGAUUUACUGGGCGUAAAGCGCACGUAGGCGGUAUAUCAAGUUAGGCGUGAAAGCCCCGGGCUCAACCCGGGAACUGCGCUUAUUACUGAUAAACUAGAGUCCGGGAGAGGGUGGCGGAAUUCCCAGUGUAGAGGUGAAAUUCGUAGAUAUUGGGAAGAACACCAGUUGCGAAGGCGGCCACCUGGACCGGUACUGACGCUGAGGUGCGAAAGCGUGGGGAGCAAACAGGAUUAGAAACCCCAGUAGUCC
rnacentral:rRNA from 1 species